GUGAACGCUGGCGGUAGGCCUAACACAUGCAAGUCGAACGGCAGCACAGUAAGAGCUUGCUCUUACGGGUGGCGAGUGGCGGACGGGUGAGGAAUACAUCGGAAUCUACUUUUUCGUGGGGGAUAACGUAGGGAAACUUACGCUAAUACCGCAUACGACCUACGGGUGAAAGCAGGGGAUCUUCGGACCUUGCGCGAUUGAAUGAGCCGAUGUCGGAUUAGCUAGUUGGCGGGGUAAAGGCCCACCAAGGCGACGAUCCGUAGCUGGUCUGAGAGGAUGAUCAGCCACACUGGAACUGAGACACGGUCCAGACUCCUACGGGAGGCAGCAGUGGGGAAUAUUGGACAAUGGGCGCAAGCCUGAUCCAGCCAUACCGCGUGGGUGAAGAAGGCCUUCGGGUUGUAAGCCCUUUUGUUGGGAAAGAAAAGCAGCAGGUUAAUACCCCGCUGUUCUGACGGUACCCAAAGAAUAAGCACCGGCUAACUUCGUG
rnacentral:rRNA from 1 species